GCACUUAUAGCUCAGUUGGU
rnacentral:misc_RNA from 1 species